rnacentral:rRNA from 1 species
GACGAACGCUGGCGGCGUGCCUAAUACAUGCAAGUAGAACGCACAGUUUAUACCGUAGCUUGCUACACCAUAGACUGUGAGUUGCGAACGGGUGAGUAACGCGUAGGUAACCUGCCUGGUAGCUGGGGAUAACUAUUGGAAACGCUAGCUAAUACCGCAUAAUAUUUAUUAUUGCAUGAUAAUUGAUUGAAAGAUGCUAUUGCAUCACUACCAGAUGGACCUGCGUUGUAUUAGCUAGUAGGUGAGGUAACGGCUCACCUAGGCGACGAUACAUAGCCGACAUGAGAGGGCGAGCAGCCACACUGGGACUGAGACACGGCCCAGACUCCUUCGGGAGGCAGCAGUAGGGAAUCUUCGGCAAUGGACGAAAGUCUGACCGAGCAACGCCGCGUGAGUGAAGAAGGUUUUCGGAUCGUAAAGCUCUGUUGUAAGAGAAGAACGGGUGUGAGAGUGGAAAGUUCACACUGUGACGGUAUCUUACCAGAAAGGGACGGCUAACUACGUG